rnacentral:rRNA from 1 species
AACGAACGCUGGCGGCAUGCCUAACACAUGCAAGUCGAACGAAGGCUUCGGCCUUAGUGGCGCACGGGUGCGUAACGCGUGGGAAUCUGCCCUUGGGUUCGGAAUAACUCAGAGAAAUUUGAGCUAAUACCGGAUGAUGUCGCAAGACCAAAGAUUUAUCGCCCAAGGAUGAGCCCGCGUAGGAUUAGCUUGUUGGUGAGGUAAAAGCUCACCAAGGCGACGAUCCUUAGCUGGUCUGAGAGGAUGAUCAGCCACACUGGGACUGAGACACGGCCCAGACUCCUACGGGAGGCAGCAGUGGGGAAUAUUGGACAAUGGGCGAAAGCCUGAUCCAGCAAUGCCGCGUGAGUGAUGAAGGCCUUAGGGUUGUAAAGCUCUUUUACCCGGGAUGAUAAUGACAGUACCGGGAGAAUAAGCUCCGGCUAACUCCGUGCCAGCAGCCGCAGUAAAAC